UCCCUGAGACCUCUGCUGUGACAGUACGCAGGGUCACAGUAAGAGCACCUCAGGGGCC
rnacentral:pre_miRNA from 1 species